ensembl:lncRNA
CGAGUAUCCGCUCGACUCAUUCAAGCUCGCCGGCCAAAUGAGAAACAAAUGUUUCUUGUCAGACGCUGUUGGCCGGGAUCCCUGGACCCCUCAGACAACGACUUCCAAACCCAACCCUCCCACCCACAAAUGUCCCAGAAUGCACUGCAGCAGCACAAAGGGAGUUGGAGAGCUGUUCCGUUCACAAGCUCAGGGAUCCAGUUUGCAUGCAGGAGAGAGAUUACAGUCGGAUCUGUGUUGUGGUCUGUUGAACAGCCUGACCCUUCAUGCACUUCGGAUUAGCUCCAGUUACCAUUAAUGGAAAGUAGAGCAGUCGACUGGCCCGAAUUCAGUUGGUUUCAGUGCGAAUGACUCCAUUAGCAGCGAGAUGCCCAUCGUGUCUCCAGCAGCAGCUAAAGGUUAUUCUUCUGUAAAGCGAGUCUCCGAUGGGACGAGCGGAGAGGAGAAGCGCUGAUGUGUGUUGGGCUGGAGACAAGGCCUGUCUUUGUGUUGGGAGAGUGAAUGAUGAAUAUGCUCUCUAGACUUCACUCUUCCAUCCGACAAUGAUGUUGGAAAGCUACCGGCUCGUUCAGUCACUGCUUCUUUCCUCUUGUGUUUGGUGAGGUAAUAAACUCUGCUUUAAAUAUCCUGAACCUCACAAGGACGCAGUCCCAACCACUCAAUCAUUAUUCAGAAUAAACAGCAGUCAUUUCAUUAGUUUAUGCACACAACUGUAGCUGCGGUAUAUUGGACCCUGUGUUUUUGCGGUUUAAAAAGGAAAAUACUGUAAAUUAAAAUGUUUGUUUAUUUAAUUAAAAGUGUUUUUAAGUUAGGUUGCUCCAAAAAG